rnacentral:rRNA from 1 species
UGGGGAAUCUUGGACAAUGGGGGCAACCCUGAUCCAGCCAUGCCGCGUGAGUGAUGAAGGCCUUAGGGUCGUAAAGCUCUUUCGCCUGUGAAGAUAAUGACGGUAGCAGGUAAAGAAACCCCGGCUAACUCCGUGCCAGCAGCCGCGGUAAUACGGAGGGGGUUAGCGUUGUUCGGAAUUACUGGGCGUAAAGCGCACGUAGGCGGACCAGAAAGUUGGGGGUGAAAUCCCGGGGGCUCAACCCCGGAACUGCCUCCAAAACUAUUGGUCUAGAGUUCGAGAGAGGUGAGUGGAAUUCCAAGUGUAGAGGUGAAAUUCGUAGAUAUUUGGAGGAACACCAGUGGCGAAGGCGGCUCACUGGCUCGAUACUGACGCUGAGGUGCGAAAGUGUGGGGAGCAAACAGGAUUAGAUACCCUGGUAGUCCACACCGUAAAACGAUGAAUGCCAGUCGUCGGGUAGCAUGCUAUUCGGUGACACACCUAACGGAUUAAGCAUUCCGCCUGGGGAGUACGGUCGCAAGAUUAAAACCUCAAAGGAAUUG